rnacentral:rRNA from 1 species
UGGGGAAUAUUGCACAAUGGGGGAAACCCUGAUGCAGCGACGCCGCGUGAGUGAAGAAGUAUUUCGGUAUGUAAAGCUCUAUCAGCAGGGAAGAAAGUGACGGUACCUGAGUAAGAAGCCCCGGCUAACUACGUGCCAGCAGCCGCGGUAAUACGUAGGGGGCAAGCGUUAUCCGGAUUUACUGGGUGUAAAGGGAGCGUAGACGGCAAGGCAAGUCUGAAGUGAAAACCCGCUGCUCAACGGCGGGAUUGCUUUGGAAACUGUUUAGCUGGAGUGCCGGAGAGGUAAGCGGAAUUCCUAGUGUAGCGGUGAAAUGCGUAGAUAUUAGGAAGAACACCAGUGGCGAAGGCGGCUUACUGGACGGUAACUGACGUUGAGGCUCGAAAGCGUGGGGAGCAAACAUGAUUAGAUACCCUGGUA